UGGGGAAUAUUGGACAAUGGGGGGAACCCUGAUCCAGCCAUGCCGCGUGUGUGAAAAAGGCCUUAUGGUUGUAAAGCACUUUAAGCGAGGAGGAGGGUACUGGUAUUAAUACUACCAGCUACUGGACGUUACUCGCAGAAUAAGCACCGGCUAACUCUGUGCCAGCAGCCGCGGUAAUACAGAGGGUGCGAGCGUUAAUCGGAUUUACUGGGCGUAAAGCGUGCGUAGGCGGCUAAUUGAGUCGGAUGUGAAAUCCCCGAGCUUAACUUGGGAAUUGCAUUCGAUACUGGUUAGCUAGAGUGUGGGAGAGGAUGGUAGAAUUCCAGGUGUAGCGGUGAAAUGCGUAGAGAUCUGGAGGAAUACCGAUGGCGAAGGCAGCCAUCUGGCCUAACACUGACGCUGAGGUACGAAAGCAUGGGGAGCAAACAGG
rnacentral:rRNA from 1 species